CUGGGCGGAGGGUGUUUGCUGU
rnacentral:miRNA from 8 species